CUUAGAGCCAUCGACAGCCUUUGGCUGUACUUGGAGCAGGGCCGGCUGCAGGCACCGGCACGCGGCAUCCGCUGGGCACCUGCUCGCAGUUCUGCCUCGAGCAUCCGCACGGCUGCAGAUCCAACACCCCCAAAGAAUCCUAUGUUCACGCAGAGAGCUCCCCCAGAAAAGCUAUUGCAAAACAGCUUACUCCGGUCAGCUGUCCUGCGGUCAGCUUUCAAGCCAAGGUCAAGAUGACCCCGUCCUCGCUGACCCUGGUGAGUGGCAGAAAGAUUAAUACUGUCAGGAGUGGAAAAAACAAGUAGAAACAAACAGAAGCAGGAAGAUCUGAACACAAAUGCGGUGCUGCAAAGGCCGCACGUGAAGCGGGAGGAUUGCCCCCCAGCACCUGACAUUUUGCUUGUACACACACCUGCAGUGUAGUGGGAAGCAAAGAGUUACUACCUCGACUUGCUUUUGACUAUCCCUAAAUACAGGUGGUUUUUAAUAAACAGACCUUUAAUUGCA